GUGGGGAAUUUUGGACAAUGGGCGCAAGCCUGAUCCAGCCAUGCCGCGUGCAGGAUGAAGGCCUUCGGGUUGUAAACUGCUUUUGUACGGAACGAAAAGACUUCUUCUAAUACAGGAGGUCCAUGACGGUACCCGGAGAAGAAGCCCCGGCUAACUUCGUGCCAGCAGCCGCGGUAAUACGAAGGGGGCUAGCGUUAAUCGGAAUUACUGGGCGUAAAGCGUGCGCAGGCGGUUAUAUAAGACAGAUGUGCAAUCCCCGGGCUCAACCUGGGAACUGCAUUUGUGACUGUAUAGCUAGAGUACGGUAGAGGGGGAUGGAAUUCCGCGUGUAGCAGUGAAAUGCGUAGAUAUGCGGAGGAACACCGAUGGCGAAGGCAAUCCCCUGGACCUGUACUGACGCUCAUGCACGAAAGCGUGGGGAGCAAACAGGAUUAGAAACCCUGGUAGUCC
rnacentral:rRNA from 1 species